AAGAAGUAAAAUGACAAAGCACCAUUUCUGUGCAAACAUUGAGGAGCCAGUUGGCACCAAGAAAGUCUUCUGUGUUUGUAAUAAUCUGACCACAGGAUGCCUAGAAGGGCUGGAGGAGGUUGGCAACUAUGAUUACCAUCAAGAAAUUGCCAGGUCAUCCUAUGUGAUAUUCUGUGCGACAAAGACAGAAAUAUAAAACAUUCCCAGGAUAUUCAGGCAGCUGUGAGUUAGUGAAAGACAGGACAGAAGGCCUUGGUUCUUGACUUUGGCAUAGAUCUCUUAUCCACAAUAGCAAUUACUGCAGGGCUGACUUCAGCUAUCCUAUCAAGGUUUUUGAGCCUGUGGCAGCUGCUGCUGUUAAGACUGUGGAGAAAAAUGGCAUCACUGAUAAGAUUAAUGUCAUUAACAAGCAUUCCACUGAGGUGACAGUAGG
rnacentral:lncRNA from 1 species